rnacentral:rRNA from 1 species
UACGUAGGCAGCAAGCGUUGUUCGGAGUUACUGGGCGUAAAGGGUGCGUAGGCGGCUAUUUAAGUUUGGUGUGAAAUCUCCCGGCUCAACUGGGAGGGUGCGCCGAAUACUGAGUGGCUAGAGUGUGGGAGAGGAAAGUGGAAUUCCUGGUGUAGCGGUGAAAUGCGUAGAUAUCAGGAGGAACACCGGUGGUGUAAACGGCUUUCUGGACCAUAACUGACGCUGAGGCACGAAAGCGUGGGGAGCAAACAGG